rnacentral:rRNA from 1 species
UACGUAGGGUGCAAGCGUUAAUCGGAAUUACUGGGCGUAAAGCGUGCGCAGGCGGCUUUGCAAGACAGAUGUGAAAUCCCCGGGCUCAACCUGGGAACUGCAUUUGUGACUGCAAGGCUAGAGUACGGUAGGGGGGGGAUGGAAUUCCGCGUGUAGCAGUGAAAUGCGUAGAUAUGCGGAGGAACACCGAUGGCGAAGGCAAUCCCCUGGACCUGUACUGACGCUCAUGCACGAAAGCGUGGGGAGCAAACAGG